GAGGGCUGGAGUUUGUUGAUUGUGCUGUGGAGGGAGCUGGAAUUUGGGGGCUGAGCUGGAAUUUGGGGGCUGAGCCCCCUCAGUGCUGUGAGGAACUGCCUAUAAGAAAUCACCAAGCAGGUAUGGGAGCUUUGCAAUAACAAUGACAACACAGGGACAUCACUUCUUCUGCAUCCCUGAGGAGGAAUGGCAGUUUUGGCUAAGAGAUUUUACUUCCAUUCCUCCAAGAGAAAGAUUGUGGAGAGAUGUCAAAGCUUAUUAUUCAAUGGAGGUGUCAUACCAAGGCUCUUCUAUGAAUGACCCUGGCAGUGUUAAAUUGAAGAAAACAGUGCUAAAGGGUUUUCAAGAAGGAAAAGAAGAACCUUCAAGAGUCACCUUUGGGCAAACUCAGAAUUCAGAAUUGAAUCAAAGGAAAAAUAUUCUUUGCAGAUAGCACAAAUCACCAGUCCCUGCCCACAAGGUAGCUGCAACAUCUUCUUCUGUGAGAGUCUGGACCUGUGCAUCUUCAUUAACUCUUGGAAAAUGAGUGCAGAGCAUUUCUGAAUGGCAGGAUGCACAUUCCCACCCUCUACACUGGGCUGAGCAUUUGGAGAGACAUCUCAGGCCUGCCUGAGCUGCCAGAUUUGGAAUAGCACUUCUGCAACAGGAGUCUGAAAGUCUGUGUAGUGUCCCUGUAACCAUGCCUAAUGCAGGCAUCAGUAGUAUGUAGAAGAACAGCUAAGAAUUGGACUUUUAAACUCAUGUGGGCUUUAUGCCCUUCAGAAUUUGGCCAUCUGAAGCUACAGGCAAGCACCCAAGAGAGAGGGAAGUAUAAUCUACUAAAAUCACAGAAUCCCCAUAAUAAGGAGUUAUUGGCUCAAGUAGAUCACUUUCCAAUUUAACUUGUGCCUUUCCUAAGCAGCAUGUAUAUCUCCUACCUUCUGUGUACAGCAAAUGUAAGCAGUGAAUCCAGUUUGUACCAGCUUCCCUGGCCACAGAAAUUGACCCACUGUCUUUUCUUUCAAAGACAGAAUUUUUAAAGCUUGUGUUGCAGUUCAGCCUUGAGUUUGGGCUGACAUUUGUUUCCUUCCCCAAAUGAGUUGCCUGGUUACAUUUCAAGCAGACUUCUGAAAGUAUACAAAUGUACUUCUAAAACUGAUAAUCAUCUUGGGGGGGAAGGCUUAUAUCCUGUUUUUGCUUAUGAGAAGGGCCCCAGGCACCCUGAUUUAAAAAAUGAUCUGACAAGAAGCAAAGACUCAAAUGCUUCUUGACACAUAUACAUCUGACACCUCAGAUAAUCAGCAUAGUUUCAUGGAAUUAGCUGAAACUCCAUCCUCACCCCCCACC